GAUGAACGCUGGCGGCGUGCCUAAUACAUGCAAGUCGAGCGAACAGACGAGGAGCUUGCUCCUCUGACGUUAGCGGCGGACGGGUGAGUAACACGUGGAUAACCUACCUAUAAGACUGGGAUAACUUCGGGAAACCGGAGCUAAUACCGGAUAACAUGUUGAACCGCAUGGUUCAACAGUGAAAGACGGUCUUGCUGUCACUUAUAGAUGGAUCCGCGCCGCAUUAGCUAGUUGGUAAGGUAACGGCUUACCAAGGCAACGAUGCGUAGCCGACCUGAGAGGGGGAUCGGCCACACUGGAGCUGAGACACGGUCCAGACUCCUACGGGAGGCAGCAGUAGGGAAUCUGCCGCAAUGGGCGAAAGCCUGACGGAGCAACGCCGCGUGAGUGAAGAAGGUCUUCGGAUCGUAAAACUCUGUUAUUAGGGAAGAACAAAUGUGUAAGUAACUAUGCACGUCUUGACGGUACCUAAUCAGAAAGCCACGGCUAACUACGUG
rnacentral:rRNA from 1 species